rnacentral:misc_RNA from 1 species
UUGGUUUGUUACCGGUGGUCGGCUCUUUUGCUCGUGCAACGACUUCCACCUAACACGCCUGGUUGUUUGUCCGGUGUUGGCUGAAAAUGCCUGAACGAUUUGCGGGUUUCCUGUGUUGCGUACCUAACAUACGGUAUUGAUCUGGCUAAUCUAAUGCUUUUUUUCUUUCGUCGUAAUGCUUAUGACGACAGAUGAACCCUAAACCGGUCUCUUUGAACCACGUCAAUAAAGCUUUUGUUGAUGUAGUGGCGCAUUGAGCCUUGGUUGGUCUCUUUGAUGUAGUACCUGAUGUGGGCAUGGGUCUCAUGGGAUCCCAGUUAUGUCCCUGCUUGGUGUUUAUGCUCCCUUAAAUGACUGCUUGACACGCAUUGGCAAGCAAUUGCGUUGCGUGUCGGGCACCGUCUAAGAGGAAAGUUACCUGGU